CUACAGGCUUAACACAUGCAAGUCGAGGGGCAGCAUGGUCUUAGCUUGCUAAGACUGAUGGCGACCGGCGCACGGGUGAGUAACACGUAUCCAACCUGCCGUCUACUCUUGGACAGCCUUCUGAAAGGAAGAUUAAUACAAGAUGGCAUCAUGAGUCCGCAUGUUCACAUGAUUAAAGGUAUUCCGGUAGACGAUGGGGAUGCGUUCCAUUAGAUAGUAGGCGGGGUAACGGCCCACCUAGUCUUCGAUGGAUAGGGGUUCUGAGAGGAAGGUCCCCCACAUUGGAACUGAGACACGGUCCAAACUCCUACGGGAGGCAGCAGUGAGGAAUAUUGGUCAAUGGGCGAGAGCCUGAACCAGCCAAGUAGCGUGAAGGAUGACUGCCCUAUGGGUUGUAAACUUCUUUUAUAAAGGAAUAAAGUCGGGUAUGCAUACCCGUUUGCAUGUACUUUAUGAAUAAGGAUCGGCUAACUCCGUGCCAGCAGCCGCGGUAAUACGGAGGAUCCGAGCGUUAUCCGGAUUUAUUGGGUUUAAAGGGAGCGUAGAUGGAUGUUUAAGUCAGUUGUGAAAGUUUGCGGCUCAACCGUAAAAUUGCAGUUGAUACUGGAUAUCUUGAGUGCAGUUGAGGCAGGCGGAAUUCGUGGUGUAGCGGUGAAAUGCUUAGAUAUCACGAAGAACUCCGAUUGCGAAGGCAGCCUGCUAAGCUGCAACUGACAUUGAGGCUCGAAAGUGUGGGUAUCAAACAGGAUUAGAUACCCUGGUAGUCCACACGGUAAACGAUGAAUACUCGCUGUUUGCGAUAUACUGCAAGCGGCCAAGCGAAAGCGUUAAGUAUUCCACCUGGGGAGUACGCCGGCAACGGUGAAACUCAAAGGAAUUGACGGGGGCCCGCACAAGCGGAGGAACAUGUGGUUUAAUUCGAUGAUACGCGAGGAACCUUACCCGGGCUUAAAUUGCAGAUGAAUUACGGUGAAAGCCGUAAGCCGCAAGGCAUCUGUGAAGGUGCUGCAUGGUUGUCGUCAGCUCGUGCCGUGAGGUGUCGGCUUAAGUGCCAUAACGAGCGCAACCCUUGUUGUCAGUUACUAACAGGUUCCGCUGAGGACUCUGACAAGACUGCCAUCGUAAGAUGUGAGGAAGGUGGGGAUGACGUCAAAUCAGCACGGCCCUUACGUCCGGGGCUACACACGUGUUACAAUGGGGGGUACAGAGGGCCGCUACCACGCGAGUGGAUGCCAAUCCCCAAAACCUCUCUCAGUUCGGACUGGAGUCUGCAACCCGACUCCACGAAGCUGGAUUCGCUAGUAAUCGCGCAUCAGCCACGGCGCGGUGAAUACGUUCCCGGGCCUUGUACACACCGCCCGUCAAGCCAUGGGAGCCGGGGGUACCUGAAGUGCGUAACCGCGAGGAGCGCCCUAGGGUAAAACUGGUGACUGGGGCUAAGUCAUAAC
rnacentral:rRNA from 1 species